rnacentral:rRNA from 1 species
UACGUAGGGGGCGAGCGUUGUCCGAAUUUACUGGGCGUAAAGAGCGCGUAGGCGGGUUCUUAAGUGAGAGGUGAAAGGUUCAGGGCUCAACCCGAACAGUGCCUUUCAUACUGGGAGCCUUGAGUGUGGGAGAGGCGAGUGGAAUUUCUGGUGUAGCGGUGAAAUGCGUAGAUAUCAGAAGGAACACCCAUGGCGAAGUCAGCUCGCUGGCCUACAACUGACGCUGAGGCGCGAAAGCGUGGGGAGCAAACAGG